UACGUAGGGUGCGAGCGUUGUCCGGAAUUACUGGGCGUAAAGAGCUCGUAGGUGGUUUGUCGCGUUGUUCGUGAAAACUCACAGCUCAACUGUGGGCGUGCGGGCGAUACGGGCAGACUGGAGUACUGCAGGGGAGACUGGAAUUCCUGGUGUAGCGGUGGAAUGCGCAGAUAUCAGGAGGAACGCCGGUGGCGAAGGCGGGUCUCUGGGCAGUAACUGACGCUGAGGAGCGAAAGCGUGGGGAGCGAACAGG
rnacentral:rRNA from 1 species